GGUGGUUUGGCUCAGUAGCUAGAGCGUAUGUCUAGUAACCGAAAGGUUGCGGGAUCGAAUCCCGCUAGAGGCUG
rnacentral:tRNA from 1 species